ACCCCUCGCCUCCUCUGCCGCACCUCGCCCUUCUCUGUCGGACCUCGCCGCCGUCGAUCUCUGGUCCGCCGUCACCAUCUGGACCCCUCCCCACACCCCGCCAGCACGCCGCCAGACGCCCUCCUCGCCCACGCGCGGCGGCCUCUCUCAUCCCACGGCUGCGCUUGCCCCUGUCCUCGCCGGCGUCGCAGCCUCAGGACAGGUAGACCCCAACUCCAUCGCCUGCGGCAACAGAUUAUUGAAGCUCUUAUGAAGUGGCGAUUGACUAGAACCAGGGGCAAGCUGAGGAUUUGUCUGCUUGAACAAUAGAGAUUGCUUGGAUUAAGUGGGGGUGAAGAUGUUCUUGUUGUCUAUAUCUGAAAUGAAAAACCUGAUGAAGAUCCUUCCGAGGCGUCAGAUGUGCCUCUUCUCGCACUGAACAGGGCCAUCAGCAGAGCAAUCAAACAAGCGACACUGCAGUAGGAAAAACAAUGAUACAUGGCAAUCUCCCAGUGUGCGCGCCCAGUAUAAUGUGAAAAUGGUAGUAGCUUCUUGUUCUUCAGAAAGUAAAUGUAAACAUCUGUUGUAAGAUUUCAGCACAGGUAAAGGCAACAGCUGCUAGCUGCUCCACCAGAGGUGCAAAAACAAGCUUAAUCCUUUGCCGAAAACAAUUGUACCAAGCACUAAGGCAGGUGUGAAGCCAGUAGUCAAUGGGUCAUCUCCAUACUCCAGGUUCAGCACUAAUUACUAUAGAUUAGUAUGGUAUUGCCGAAAACAAUAGUACCAAGCACUAACACAAUCACCUGAGUAUAUUACAUGGGUAUAGCACUGAUUACUAUUUGAUUAGCAUCAAUUUCUACAGGUUUUGAAUGUAAGAUAUUCAAAGUCGGGCUGUAAUCUCAUUGGGUUCGUUGCUUAUCAUCAAUGGGGACUGCAUGUUUUCAACAGACCAUUUUUAUCCCAUAUCCAAUAGUUCAGAUGACAAAUAGACACUGCUUUACUCAAACUAUUUUGUAUGGGCGUGUUCCUUUAUUACGUUGGAACUUGGAAGCGGUAUGUUGGUGUUGAAUUUGUGACACUAAAAGUUGUACUACUUGCUAAUGAUACCAGGUGGUAUCUUGAGAAUGUGUUAUUUUCUUGAAAUAAUCACCAUUAUUUUGUCACUUGGUCUAUAUCUUAAAAGAUGGAGCACAUAUUGGCAUACACUAGAACAUAGUAACAGGCUUGCCGAUCAAAACAUCUGUUGUCGGCUUGUUCAUCUUGUAUAUUAGUUAAAACCAGAUGGACAGUGAGUCUGAAAUACAUAAUAGUUUUUUUCAUCGUUGCAAAAUAUUAUAUUGCUUUAAACAAUGUGUGUAUAUACAUUGUUUUACAUGGCUGCCAAACACUCCGUCCAAAUAAAACACAAUCAAUCUACGUAUUAUAUUGCAACCCCAAAAAAAUCGCUAGAUGUGCAUUUGAAGGUGGUAGAAAUCUUGGACCGGGGAGGAGGAGAUAAAUUGAUGAAGGAGAAAAAGAAGAAGAAAAUAAAUAAAUGAAACAAGAAUAAAAUGUAUAAAUUUGACAUGAUUAGUGUCGGACCACUAGAAUUUUAUGCUCCUUGUCCUUCUAAUUUUAUGCUCCCGUUGCAACGCACGGGCAAAUACCUAGUAGAUCUAAAAACAAGAGAUAUAGAUUAUACACCACAAAACAUUAUAGCUUGCACGAUCAAGACAAAACAAGUGACGAGGAGAAAACCCCCGAUGACCUCGCAUAUGCCUAUGCCGCCGUCGCCGGCGCCGUCGCAGAGUUGAUCGCCUCGCACCCUCAUCCGACCGUAGGAGCCUCCACCCUUGCAUAUGCAGUUCAGCAGCCUCUGUUUUGCCGCCGCCGCCGCCUCCGUGCAGUUCGUCUAGCUACCCUUGGCCGAUCUUCCGAUUCUCUUAUGCAUGCACUUCAACGGCUUUGCGUUUCAUGCACAGAUCGAAGGAGCACUCAUUGUCACACGUGCAUGCAUCAUCCUUGUAUCUCUAUGGAAAGGAGCUAGGUACGAAUCAAAAUAUUACUUGCCUGUUGCCGCUCGAGCAUGCAAGCUAUGAUUUUUCAGACCUGCACAUGUGCAUGCAUCAUCCUCAUGUACCUAGGAGAGCUAGGUACA